CAAAAGGUUUCACCUACUGCCCAUGCUCAUGAUCAUUCCCUAUGAGUGACAUUAUGUUAAAGGAAGACUGGCACCUUUGAAAAGUUCGCACAAAACCAUGCUUUUAGGGUUCCAAUCACCAUAAAUGAUUUUUUAGAGUUUAUUAGGCAUCUCACAAUCACGCAACUUGAAAAUUUUUCGUCAUGUUAUCGUUAUUAUAAUUCGGGUAAAAAAGCACCUCCAUGUUUAUGACAGCACUAGAGUUCAAGGUCGUAUGAUAUGGAAGCGGAAUUUGUCGCCAUAAAUGGCGCGCAAGUUUCAUUUAUAAAUGCAUUACAAAAAAUACCAUUGACAGGAUUAUGUAACCUGUAUUCCCUUGUGUAUUCCCUUGCUGCAAAUCAGCCAACAGCCUCCUCUUGUGAUAUAGCUUGGAAAAAUGCCUGCGACCAGAGGGACAACCAGAGGAAGAGGAAGAGGAAGAGGUGUGAGUCGGUCCAGAGGGGCCCAGAGAAGACUGGAGUUCCCACCAGCCGCACGAGCUGCCCCAAGAGGAGCCAGAAGUUCCCAGUCAAGGGCGGUAGCCAACCUUUACAACCGUCCCACUUUCCGCAGGCUGGUCACAUUUUCUUCAUUUCCAGCUUUUAUUUCAUACCAGACGUGACAAUGCACUACAUUUCCCUACAUUCUUGUUUGUCAAUGACAUUCUUUAUGGUGCUGGUCCAUUCUUUUGUUGAUAGUUAUUUAUAAAUUUGCAUAUUUCUUUCCAAAUUUGAGUUUUACAACCUACAGUUCUUAUCUUUUUUCCUUUAAAAAUGAGGCUGUUGGCCUUGAAAGAAAAGUUCAAGUUGUUACGUACUAAACGUUUGUUCGUGAUUGUGAUGCUUUCUUCAUGAUCAUGCUUGAUGUUCUAUUUUCCAUUUUGCUCUGACUAUUUCAUUUUUGUUCUUAACAGUACCUACUUAUUAACUACAAAAAUGUCAUUCAUUCUGAUUUUUUAAUUUUGUUUCCAGGGCCCAGUUUCACCAAGCUCUGUUUGGGGUAGUUUCGGCGAAACUACCCCAAACCAGUUUCACCAAAUGGGGUAGGUUCUGAUUGGCCACUUCCAAACUACCCCAUGGAGUAGUGCUUAUUUUACCCCAAAUUUGCCAUGCAAACAGAUGCUCACGGUCCGUGAGGAACUGAACAAGCCAAUCAAUCAGCUGAUUAUCGUCGGUUCUACCCCAAAUAUCCGACCAAAAUUACGGCAGACAUUCGUGGGGUAAUCUGUGAAUAUGAUACCAAUUGUGAGCAAGAAUUGACAGUA